rnacentral:rRNA from 1 species
CAAUAGCGUAUAUUAAAGUUGUUGUGGUUAAAAGCUCGUAGUUGAACUUAUGUUUAGUGUUGCCGGUCCGCCCUUGGGGUGAGCACCUGGUUGGCCUGGGCAUCUUCUUGGAGAACGUAAUUGCAUUUAACUAUGUGGUUGCGGAAACCAGGACAUUUACUUUGAGGAAAUUAGAGUGUUUCAGGCAGGCAUGAGCUUGUAUACAUUAGCAUGGAAUAAUAAGAUAGGACCUCGGUUCUAUGUUUUGGUUCGUAGAGCUGAGGUAAUGAUUAAUAGGGAUAGUUGGGGGCAUUCGUAUUUAACUGUCAGAGGUGAAAUUCUUGGAUUUGUUAAAGACGAACUAAUGCGAAAGCAUUUGCCAAGGAUGUUUUCAUUGAUCAAGAACGAAAGUUAGGGGAUCGAAGACGAUUAGAUACCAU